rnacentral:lncRNA from 1 species
GUAUAAUUGGUGCAUGCCGGAAAAUCUAUUUUCCAGAAUUGUUGACCGUAUUGAAUAUUUCGGUAAUUGUACAGAUUUUUAGGUUGCCAUGUGAGUUGCAGAAUGAGCUACACAUCCAUGACUCCAUGGAAUUCAAUGACGUCGUGGUCUAUGGCAACACCAAGUAAAACCACUUAUUAUUGCUAAGCGACCUGCCGCUGUACAGACGACUAGUUACUAUGGUGAUGGUUUCUGCGAAACUGCGCCUAAUAAUUCACACUUUUUCAUCACGCGAAUGGUUGAACAAAAAUAUGAUUAGUAUCUGAAAUCAACAAUGCCUAGAAGCGGAAGAGGAAAGUGUUUGUACUAUCAAAGACAAUGGAAGGAAGGGUAAGGCCCGUAAGGUGCGAUGUUCUGUAAAGGAGUACCGAGACCUCGUGAGGUCUAUAGACUCACUACAAGGCAAUAGACCCAGCAUCAUUCAACAGGAGGAGCAUGAAGCCAGAAUCAUUCAACAGGAGGAGCAAGAACCCAGUGUAACCUUUCCACUUGAAACCAAUGAAUCUGAGGUGGCAGAACCUAUAGCAGCCACAAAAAAAGGGCAGUAAACGAGGCAGAAGGAUGGAGAAAAAUACGAUCUGAUCUGGCUGUUGCCCGGAUGGAAGGAUUUUGUCCUGCUUCAAACCAAUGUUCCUCAUGUGGCUCUUCUGAGGUUCCCGAAAUCAUAUGGUGUCCUGACUGUGGACCCAACACUCUGUAUUGCAUGAUGUGUAAUGAGAAUAUCCACCGCAUGGUAAUGUACCAUCAGGCGUAUGUAUGGAAAAAUGAUGUUUAUAUGUUUGUGCCCCUUAUUAAAGAAACAACCCUCAUCCAUGAACACUCAUGUGACAGCAUAUACUCUCGUCAAAUAAGAGUUUUUGAUGCAUUGGGGAGACAGCAUAAAGUAAAAUCCCAUUUCUGCCAGUGUGAGCCAGAAGCUGUUACCUUAGUUAGAAGGGGAUUAUGGCCAGCAACACCCAAACAGCCAGAAACAGCCAGAAACAGCCUUCACGAUAACACUGAUGGAGCUAGGGCGAAUGCUACAGCUUGAAGGUCAAUUAUCUCUGCAAAAGUUUUGCUUUGCCUUAAAAAGAAGAACUACUUUCCUACCUCCUCACACAACUGACUGCAGAGACCUCUACCUGGCACUGGGAAACGCACUAACUGAAUUCCAUCAUCAUCAAGUGUCGUGCCUUGAGAUGGCACAUUCUCCAGACAUUGUGGGCAAGAACUGCCCAGUAUGUACAUUGGAGUGCUCAGACUUUCAGGCUGGUGACAUGGUUAGGGCUAAAAAUUAAAGUGCAAAUCUGGAUAUAAAAGGAGUGUUUGGCUCUGUGUGUCACCAUGGAUUUCCCCUCUAUUUUGUGAACAUGGAGCAUGGCGAAAGAUUUGCAUAUCCAGUCUAUAUUAUGAAGCAGAUUGCUUCAAGGCAGGUUGGUGCUACAAAUGAAAAGCAGAUUGUCAUGUAUGAUAUUGCCUGUAGACUGCAAGCUCAUCUUGGGCAGGCGGGAAGGAUGGAGCUUGUCCACUUCCCAACGUGUGCAUCUCUACGUCAGGAUCAGCAGCAACAAAUGUCUUUCCCCAAAGAAAGAAUGAUAGAACUUUUGGGGCUCUUGAAGGAUAAUUUCAGUGAAAGAUUUAAGGAUUUUCAUGAUUUGAAGGAUGAAAUACGUCUCUUCAAAAAUCCAUUUGCGGCAGAUGUGUCAA